CCUGGGGGAGGAUCCUCUGGGAGGAACUUGGCCAUGGCCCUUCCUGUCCCAGGCUGCUGCUAGCUUGGUCUCAGGAGCUUCUGGGGAGAGGAUGGCUAGGCCCCUUCCUGCCUGUGGCUACUGCUAUCUUGUUCUCAGAGCUUUUGGGGCCAUUGACACUGAUAGUGAGACUCCUUCAAUGGGGCCCAUCAUGCACAGGUGGUUGGUAUGUGUGUUUGAAACAGAGCACAUGUCCUGUUUUCAAAGUAGAAGUUGCUUCUCCCAGAGGACUGCGAAUAUAAAUUGCAGAGAUUGAAAAAUGUCGUAAGAUGCCCACAGCUUGCGUUUUCUCCCAGCAGGCCUACUGGGCACAUGUCUGCUGUUAAGCAGUGAAGAGGAAAAGUUCUCUUCCUGGGGAAAGUAGCAUAUUUUUGCGUGAGGGCAGAUAGUGACCACGCAAGGUCUCACAGGUCAUAGCUUAUAACUUCACCUGACAGCUGUAUUUAAUUAUUGUUGCAAUGCAAUGAGACAGUUACUACCUUGACAAGAGACACAACAGAUUCCACCACAGAAACUGUCUGUGAUGUGUGGCAGGAGAACUAGAGAUUAAAUGAAUCCUGGAUUCAAGCCACUGCCUGUUUUGCAAUCUGAUUGUGAUGAUUCAUUUGCAUUGAGGCAUCACCUCAAGGCCCUGUUAAGUGAUCAGCACUUCAUCAUGUAAGGCACU